rnacentral:rRNA from 1 species
AGAAUCAACGCUGGCGGCGUGCCUCAGACAUGCAAGUCGAACGAUUAAACUUUCCUUCGGGAAAGAUAUAAAGUGGCGCACGGGUGAGUAACACGUAAGUAAUCUACCUUUGAGUGGGGAAUAACCCGGGGAAACCCGAGCUAAUACCGCAUAAUGCAGCGGCACCGCAAGGUGACAGUUGUUAAAGGAGCAAUCCGCUUAAAGAGGAGCUUGCGGCAGAUUAGCUAGUUGGUAAGGUAAUGGCUUACCAAGGCUACGAUCUGUAACCGGUCUAAGAGGACGGUCGGUCACACUGACACUGAAUAACGGGUCAGACUCCUACGGGAGGCAGCAGUCGGGAAUUUGGGCAAUGGGCGAAAGCCUGACCCAGCAACGCCGCGUGAAGGAUGAAGUAUUUCGGUAUGUAAACUUCGAAAGAAUAGGAAGAAUCAAGUGAACGGUACCAAUUUAAUAAGGUACCGGUACGUAACCUACGUGCCAGCAGCCGCGGU